rnacentral:rRNA from 1 species
GACGAACGCUGGCGGCGUGCUUAACACAUGCAAGUCGAACGGAAAGGCCCUGCUUUUGUGGGGUGCUCGAGUGGCGAACGGGUGAGUAACACGUGAGUAACCUGCCCUUGACUUUGGGAUAACUUCAGGAAACUGGGGCUAAUACCGGAUAGGAGCUCCUGCUGCAUGGUGGGCGUUGGAACGUUUCGGCGGUUGGGGAUGGACUCGCGGCUUAUCAGCUUGUUGGUUGGGUAGUGGCUUACCAAGGCUUUGACGGGUAGCCGGCCUGAGAGGGUGAACGGCCACAUUGGGACUGAGAGACGGACCAGACUCGUACGGGAGGCAGCAGUGGGGAAUAUUGCACAAUGGGCGGAAGCCUGAGGCAGAAACGCCGCGGGCGGGAUGACGGCCUGCGGGUUGUAAACCGCUUUCGCCUGUGACGAAGCGUGAGUGACGGUAAUGGGUAAAGAAGCACCGGCUAACUACGUG